AGCUUUGCGCAGUGGCAGUAUUGUAGCCAAUGAGGUUUAUCUGAGGCACGAUUAUUGCUAAUUGAAAACCAGAGAGGGGAUUAAAAUAUUCACAAAUAAUCAAAAUGCUAAGGCAAUUUUUUCCUAGUAGACCUAU
rnacentral:snRNA from 1 species